CAGCGCCUGCCCAUGCUGUCAGUGUGCUACGUGCAGGACGAGGCUGCACGCGCUGAGGCUCACUUCAGGGACUGAGGGAGACUUCUAAAUAAGGGCAGGAGGAGAGGGAACAGUGGCUGGACAUUCUCCACCUCUACUGCACGUUUCAUACAACAGCUGUCCUGUCAUGGGGGUGAAGAUGCUGCAGUGCUUUCCUUUCUACAGACGCUGCAAGGAUCGCUGCAAGAGCAGACAGUGUACGCCGCCUCCAGUUCCCACUGAGGAGACAAAACCACGACUGUCCUCCACCACGUCCUGGGGCAGCGAAAGCGAAGGAGCGGGAAGCCUCGGCCACGCCUCGCAGGUCUACUUCUCUACAAAGGCCAGGCUGUCUUUCAGGCACCAGCUGGACAGCAACAUCAACGCCGUGGACGCCACCUACUGAGGAGGACAAAGGCGGACGGACUGAAGGUCUGCUGAAGGCCUGCAGCUGCAGAUGUUUUCCGCUCUGCUGGACACGCUGGACUCCCGAUUGAUGGGAGUCGGGGAAGCAGAGGACAACAGACUGGAGGACUUGACCUGAUUAAAGCUUAAAAACGAGGAACUCUUCUGUCUAAACACAAACUCUGAUGACAAUGUCGCUGUGUUGCCGCUUUCACCACCAACAUUUGCCUUGUUUUAUUUUUAUAGGACUGGUUUUUCGUACUGUUUUUGCGUGUAACAAAAAAACAACAAUGCCAUCAGACAAACGUUCCGUUUUAAAGUCCCACUCUUAUCAUCUUUUGAUUCAUUCUACAAGUGUUCCCAGUAGACUUUUAAUUAAGAUGGUGGCGGUUUUAGCUUAAAUAAAAAUAAAAAACUCUAGGACAUAGUUUCUGCAGAGCGGCAGGAGUUCAUUAGAAAUUCAUCUCCGAGUUGUGGGUGGGGCUGUUUGGGCGGAGCAAGCCCAAGCCCCCCCCACACACACCCAUCACCCAUAAGUCUCUGUUUACAUGGUCUCCUGCCAGCUUACAGCCCCUCACACCCCAAACCUAACUCCUGGUGCAACAAGAAUGGCGAGGAAUAUGAAGACGUUCAUGGAUCUAGUCGUCUACACGUGGAUGCCUCCAACUGGGGCGGAGUAGGGAGCUUGUGACACGCCCAGCGUAUCUUCUAUGUCACAAUCACGCCGUCCUCAAUCAUGAGAAAAGUGCUACAUGUUAAAAACACCAGAAACUACCUUUUCAUGGAAGUGGGGCUUUAGCCCUAAACAGGAAGACAUUUAGCACCUUAACUCCUCUAAAACUUUCUUAUUGCCACAAGUGGGCGCUAGAGACAAAAAAUGACCUCGAACUGUUAAUUUUGUAAAGUUUGUAGUUCUGUUCUGCUUUGAACUGCACUGCUCUGUAACAUUUUAACACUUUUUGUUGUGAGUUUUAUGGAUUGAAGCUUUUUGUGGCAGUAAACUAAAAUCACAAACUAAACUUUUUUUUUUAAAUUAAACUGUGUGU